rnacentral:lncRNA from 1 species
GAAAAUAACAAACCCAUCUUUGUACAACAAUUCAAAUCACACUUAAGCAUUCACAAAAGAGCACUUUAGGGUUUGCAAAAGACCUCUACAUCCAACUAGCUGAUUCUUAGAAUAUAGAAUGCCCACACUGCAGGCCCUUCUUGUGAAAAGCAGAGGACAACCCAGAACUGGUGGCUGCAUUCAUAUUAGUUUAGGGAUUCAUGAUUCAGACUCCAAACCUAGAGGUGGCUGGGUCCCAAAGGACAGAGUCCAAUGCUGAAGAGACUGGGCUGUCCAAGAUGCCCACUGUAUCUCACUGUGACAUCCAGUCCAUUGUGCAGAAGUGGGCAGGAAAGUCUUCUGGUUAGACAAGUUCAUUUCUUCAGCCUCAGAGGAAGCUGACAUAGAAAUGCCCCAUGCCCAGAGCCUGUUCAUAGAUGCCUAGUGGUGUGUAAUCAUGGACAUUGGAUUUAGGAAGAUUGUUUCUCUAGGGGAACCUGUAUCUUUAAAGGAAACCCACUUGUGCUGACUUGGUGGAAGUGAGGAAACCUCCAGCUCCCAUCUCACAAACUUCUUUUACAGAGGGAACAACAACACAGCCAGCAAUAUGAAAACUCUGGGUAACAGAAAGUAGAAGUCACAACCCAACUCCAUCCUGAGGGGCAAGGAUGGUCUCUGCCAUGAACUGGCAAGAUAAAUCCAGGUAUCCAUGUCAGGCAUCUAUUCUAUUCACAAAUUUCAGUUAGUUAAUCUUAGGGACCUGUACCACACAAACCAGGAGCCAUGAACCUGACUGGAGCCUUGGAAGACAGGGUGUAUAGGAGUCAAGAGGGCUAGAUGAAAGGCAACAGAGAAGAGUGGGGACUGAAACUAAUGAAGUAACAGUACUGGCCCCAUUUGCAGGAGGGGGGGCAGUCAGGAGCUGGAAUGUAACUCAGCAGUAGGAUACUUAAAACUGUGAAACUAAUUCAUGCUCCAAGAUGUCAGGAUAAACAGCCUAGAUUCAUAGUGCAAUGGUUACCACUCUGGCCUCACACACACAAGAUAUCAGGAUAACAGUUUUCCUUAAAAGACAGGGAGCUGGUGCUAUUGUUUCUCGCCCUGGGUGCUGAGAGCAUGGCUACAUUUAAAAAUUCAUCAAGUGAACUUUUCUGUAUAGAAAUGCUGCAAUAAAAACUUGGCAGUAAAGGUUGGGGGUGUGGCCCAGUGGUAGAGUGCUUGCCUAUCAUGAACAAGGCCCUGGGUUCAAUCCCCAGCACGAAAGGAAGGAAGGAAGAAAGGAAGGAAGGAAGGAAGGAAGAAAGGAAGGAAGGAAGGAAGGAAGGAAGGAAGGAAGGAAACACUUUAAAAUAAUUUUAUGCAAUGAUGGAAAUCCUACUGUGCAUGAUAGUUAUUUGUAUAUAUACAUAUGUUAAAAGUUAAUGAAUUGGCUGGAAUUGUAGAUCAGUAAUAGAGCACUUGCCUGAUAUGCUCAAAGUCCUGAGUUGAGAGCUGGGGAUAUAACUCAGUUGAUAGAGUGCUUAUCUCACAUUCAUAAGACCCUGGGUUCAAACCCCAGCACCACAAGGCAAAAACAAAAACAAAAGCCCUGGGUUGAAUCCCCAGAACUUAAAAAAAAAAAGUCCCUGAGCUGUAUAGUCAUUUUAGUUUCAGAAUCCCCCAAAUCCAUGGGUAUUCAAGUCCCUUGUAUAAAAUGGUGUAGUAUUUGCAUAUAAUCUGCAUACAUCCUCCCAUAUACUUUAGAUUGUCUCGAGAUUAUUUGUAAUACCUAAUACAGUGUAGAUGCUACGAAAAUAGUUGUUAACUUAUAUUGUUUAGGAAAUAACAACAGGUUAAAAAAAGUGUGUGCACGUUCAAUCCAGUUCAGUUCUUUUUUCUGAUAUUUUUGUUCUGCUGUUGGUUGAAUCUGCAUGGAUACAAAAAGUCCUUAGGUUAUGAAUAUUUCACUGUUUAUAAAUGAAAUGUGGGGACUUUACCUUUAAACAAGAAGUCUCAGGAAUAAGUUGUAUAGUGUUUUCCUUCUAUAUUUAAACUCUAACUUUACUAGCUUAACCUCAAUGUCUUACAAAAAAAUUAGUUUAUACAUCUUAAAUUCCUUUAUGACCCUGAAAAAUUUGUUAUAAAAUUGACAUGAUACUCUAAUUUGUC